CUGGAGUGGAUUAGUGGCGAACGGGUGAGUAACACGUGAGUAACCUGCCCUUGACUCUGGGAUAAGCCUUGGAAACGAGGUCUAAUACCGGAUAGGAGCACUCAUCGCAUGGUGGGUGUUGGAAAGAAUUUCGGUCAUGGAUGGACUCGCGGCCUAUCAGCUUGUUGGUGAGGUAAUGGCUCACCAAGGCGACGACGGGUAGCCGGCCUGAGAGGGUGACCGGCCACACUGGGACUGAGACACGGCCCAGACUCCUACGGGAGGCAGCAGUGGGGAAUAUUGCACAAUGGGCGAAAGCCUGAUGCAGCGACGCCGCGUGAGGGAUGACGGCCUUCGGGUUGUAAACCUCUUUCAGUAGGGAAGAAGCGAAAGUGACGGUACCUGCAGAAGAAGCACCGGCUAACUACGUGCCAGCAGCCGCGGUAAUACGUAGGGUGCGAGCGUUAUCCGGAAUUAUUGGGCGUAAAGAGCUCGUAGGCGGUUUGUCGCGUCUGCCGUGAAAGUCCGGGGCUUAACUCCGGAUCUGCGGUGGGUACGGGCAGACUAGAGUGC
rnacentral:rRNA from 1 species